GAUGAAGAACGCAGCGAAAUGCGAUACUUGGUGUGAAUUGCAGAAUCCCGUGAACCAUCGAGUCUUUGAACGCAAGUUGCGCCCGAAGCCAUUAGGCCGAGGGCACGCCUGCCUGGGCGUCACACGUCGUUGCCCCCCCAUCUACUCCUUCGGGAUUGCAGGGGGCGGAUGAUGGCCUCCCGUGCGCCUCGCCGCGCGGUUGGCAUAAAUGCCAAGUCCUCGGCGACGCACGCCACGACAAUCGGUGGUUGCGAAACCUCGGUUGCCCGUCGUGUGCGGUCGUCGCGCAUCGAGGGCUCGAAAAAAUUGCCGGGUUCCGGCUCGGCUUUCAACGCGACCCCAGGUCAGGCGGGGUUACCCGCUGAAUUUAAGCAUAUCAAUAAGCGGAGGA
rnacentral:misc_RNA from 1 species